ACCAUGCAGUCGAACGGUGAAGCCCCGCUUGCGGGGUGGAUCAGUGGCGAACGGGUGAGUAACACGUGAGCAACCUGCCCCUGACUCUGGGAUAAGCGCUGGAAACGGCGUCUAAUACUGGAUACGAGACGUGAUCGCAUGGUCAACGUUUGGAAAGAUUUUUCGGUUGGGGAUGGGCUCGCGGCCUAUCAGCUUGUUGGUGAGGUAAUGGCUCACCAAGGCGUCGACGGGUAGCCGGCCUGAGAGGGUGACCGGCCACACUGGGACUGAGACACGGCCCAGACUCCUACGGGAGGCAGCAGUGGGGAAUAUUGCACAAUGGGCGCAAGCCUGAUGCAGCAACGCCGCGUGAGGGAUGACGGCCUUCGGGUUGUAAACCUCUUUUAGCAGGGAAGAAGCGAGAGUGACGGUACCUGCAGAAAAAGCACCGGCUAACUACGUGCCAGCAGCCGCGGUAAUACGUAGGGUGCAAGCGUUAUCCGGAAUUAUUGGGCGUAAAGAGCUCGUAGGCGGUUUGUCGCGUCUGCUGUGAAAUCUGGGGGCUCAACCCCCAGCCUGCAGUGGGUACGGGCAGACUAGAGUGCGGUAGGGGAGAUUGGAAUUCCUGGUGUAGCGGUGGAAUGCGCAGAUAUCAGGAGGAACACCGAUGGCGAAGGCAGAUCUCUGGGCCGUAACUGACGCUGAGGAGCGAAAGGGUGGGGAGCAAACAGGCUUAGAUACCCUGGUAGUCCACCCCGUAAACGUUGGGAACUAGUUGUGGGGUCCAUUCCACGGAUUCCGUGACGCAGCUAACGCAUUAA
rnacentral:rRNA from 1 species